UAUUCUGGACUACCAAUAUUAGUACUGCUAAAAAUAAUUGUAUAUUUUUGAUUUUUUGCACCUUUUUGAGGACUAUCCCCUUCCUUAACACUAACAAUAUUAAAGGAUGAUGGGUGAUUAUCAUUUGCCUCUAGUUUUGGAUCAAUAUUGGCUUAUGUUUCAGCUAGUUUGUAGAGAAAAAAAUGAUUAAAUGGAGAAAAAGUAUUUUUGUUGUUGCUAUUGAUGAUGCUAAUAUUAACAUGAUCAUGGUUUUACUCUAGUUUAUUCUAUAAAAAGCUAGUACGCGUGAUUUGCAAUAUUGAACUGGUGAAGGAGAAUCCCCAGAACCUGCACAAUCUCACACUUGGCUACAACACCCAUGACAACUAUGAUAACACCCUCGGCACUUCAGAUGCCUUGCUGGACAUGCUCUCUACUGGAGAAGCCAAUGUUCCCAACUACAGCUGUGGAAGGGAGGAGAAGCUUUUGGCUCUUUUUGAUGGAGCUGACAGAGACAGCUCCAUCCAGAUGUCAACAUUAGCAAGCACCUACAAAGUCCCACAGGUCAGUAUGAGAAUUGCUUCAGAGGCUCUGAGUGAUAAAAGUCAAUUCCCUUUUUUCCAUCCGAUGCUCCCCAAAGAAGGGAUCCAGUAUCCAGGAAUUGUCCAAAUUCUCCUCCAUUUUGGAUGGACCCUGAUUGGUCUCUUUGCAACAGACACAGAGUAGGGAGAAAAUUUCAUGAGAAAUUUUAAUCCUAUGCUUGUCAAGAAUAGAAUUUGUGUUGCUAUUUCACAACAAUUCUCAAUGACUGGACAUACCCCAUUCCUCAGGGACGCCCUCUCUAAGUGGAGACAAGUCAACGUCUUUGUUAACUUCAUAGAAUUUGAUUCCCUUUUGGACAGUAUUCUUCCCAUCCAUUCAGCACUUGAAAGUUUGCCAGGACCCAUUGAAGGGAAAGUCUGGAUCAUGACCGUGGCUGCAGUAUUUUCAAUUAAAAAAGAUUGGUGUCUCAAGCACGUCCACAGUAUUUGGAGUUUUCCCUGUCAGUGGAAAGAGAGUUGGAAAUAUGAUAAUGCCUUUAAAAGAGAUUUCUUUGUGGAACCUGAAUUUCAAGCUGAGUAUUUUCACUGUUCUGUUUCAAAACACACCUUUUCUGUCAAAGGCCGGAGAAGAUGCACCCAGAAAGCACCAGUGGAGUCCCAAGAGAAAACGAAUAGGAUGCAGAUCGCAAAUCCUUUCAUUACUUACAGUGUCAUAAAGAUUCUGGCCCACGCCUUAAGUGCUGCAUCCCAACCCCAGAGGAGAAGGAAGAAGGGUGAAGAGAGGUUGGGGGCUCCAAGGCUGCAACUAUGGAAGUUCCAUCCAUUUCUAAAGAAGAGGGAAUUGUACAAUCUUUCCCUGCUGAAAGUGUACUUGGAUCAGAAUGAAAACGUAGUAGCAGAUCUUGAGUAGGGUGGUUCUUCCCAAGGAGGAUCCCAUCAACAAGCAAUUGGGCACUUUUGAAAGACAAAGACUUACAAUCAACCAAGAUGCUUUGUCAUACUUAAAGUUCCUCAAGAAGGUGGGGAAAAUUUUGAUCUCUUUUCUCUUUUUUCCAAAGCUGUUUCAAGUGGGCUAAACCUAAUCAAAAAAGUGAGUAACUUUCACUGAGAAUUGAAUGUGUGGAGUAAAACCCCUAUAACUUUCUUAGGCAGAUAAGCAAGCUUCAGUUCUAUUGACCAAGGUUUCCCUUCUGAUGCUGUCAUGCUGAACCCUGUUGUAAGCUGAUCCAAAAUGAGAUAUGGGGUGAUUAUUAUUUAGGACCCAAAUCAUUGCCAUUUAGUGUCCCUCGGCAGUUUAGUACCACCAUAAAACUGGUGAGACAGGGCCUCAUAGGCUGGAGAUUUUGGUGUUAAUAGCUUCAAAUUCACUAGUUUCUUUGUCUUUAGAUAUCAAAGAUGAAGGCAAUUCUUUUGACCAGUCCCUGAGUUCAGAUUUGGACUGAAUCUGAGGAAAGGGAAUCCAGAGUGGAUGGAGGUCCUGUUGGUCCAGUUCGGAAAUAAGGUUCAUCUUUGUCCUGGUUGGAGUCAGGGGUCUCCCAAAAUUGCAGGUUCAUAGUCUGGGAUGUUUUUAAUCAGCUGAGUCCAUAGUUACACCUGCCUCUCUUUAACCCACACUGGGAUAGUGGAAUUUAGGAAGGAGGUCCAAGGCUUUCAGUUCACAUAAAAUAAUAAUGACUGGUCUGAUGUGAGCACAAUUAUGAAUUGAUUGAUUAAAUUUACUUGCUACCCAUCUCACCAUGAUAAUGACUUGAAAACUGAAGUACUGAAACAUGACUUUGGUGCAAAAAAAAUCUUGAUAUCAGAAAUAAUAAGGGGAAUAGAAUAGAAGAGAAGACCUGUAAGGGACCUUGGAG